rnacentral:rRNA from 1 species
UUGAAAGGGAAACGAUUGAAGUCAGUCAUGUUGGUAGGGAAUCAACUUGAUGGUAUGCGGGUUUACUCGUGUUCUUUUGAGUGCACUUCCUUACUUGCAAGUUAGCAUCAAUUUUGAUUAUCAUAUAAAAAUUGAGGGAAGGUGACUUUUCUUCGGAAAAGUGUUAUAGACCUCGAGAAAUGUGGUGAUCGGGAUUGAGGAUUGCAGCGGAUACCCUUUUGGGCUAGUCACCUGGCUUCUGAUGGUUACCCCGUCUUCGACAGCUUGCUGACGUUGGUGGGACUCGAUUGUCUAGAUGUUGGAGUGAUCAUAAAUUCGUUAAGGAUGUUGACGUA